AGUCGUAACAAGGUAUCCGUAGGUGAACCUGCGGAUGGAUCAUUACCAAAGAUUUUAAUCAAAGUCUUGUGAACUGUUUUGAACUACACUGUUGGGGUGCUAAAUUGAGCGUUGCUUUGCAGUUUCGCUUGGUUGACCACCUCGACGGUACACAUACACGUAUAUACACCUAAACUGACGUCUACUUUAGUAGUAAAUCAAACUAAAGACAACUUUUAGCAACGGAUCUCUUGGCUCUC
rnacentral:misc_RNA from 1 species